CUGGAAAAGUCCUGGUGUUCAGAAACAAGACCCGCUUCUCUGAUUGCACGAGUCGGGCCACGCACCAUUUACUCCUUUGUGAGCUGUGAACGGCGAGGCUUUCACAUCGGACGGGCCGUGACAUUAACGUCCGUCUGUCACAGCGGUUAACACACAGGAGAACACAGAAAGCAUGUGAAUGCAGAGCAAACGCUGAGAGCUGAUUGUCCGGGCUCGGGGGGGUUUUAAUCUCCACAAUAAGAGCUAUAGAGCCGCCUCGGGUUUCACACGGCGCCUUUACUGCACAAAGCCUCCAGAUAAUAAGCACAAACCUGCAGGACUGAUGUCACCGCGUCAAACAGAGCCGAGCUCAGGAAAGGUCAGACCUGCUGCUCAAACACUGAGCAAACGCACACACAUGCACACACGCACACACACGCACAUGCGCACACACACACGCACGCACACACACAAACACACACACACGCUGCAUGAGGCAGCGUUGCGCUGGGACGGGUCCGGACCUCCAGGAUCAGAUCAGAACCUGUUCGGUCGUUCGGCGCCUGUUCUACACAGCUGCUGUUUCCAUCACAUGUUUCGAUCAAGUUACUGAAGCUGGUAUCACAACAGAACCACCAGAGCCAGUAACCGUGGUCACAGGAGUCAGGGGUCAGGGGUCGGGGGUCACAGCUUCUAAUCUACUGUCGACUGCGUCUCGCUCAAGGACACUUCAGGAGUCGGGGGAGGAGGACGGAGCUAAUCUGAGCAGAGCUGCAGCCUCGUCCACGUCUGCUCGGGUUCUGGCUCAUCGGCUCCAACAACACCGGGUCAAAAUGGAUCCAAACACACCGUCUGCUGCUGCUGCACUAGGACCGGGGUCACGUGUGGUGCAACAUGAUUACGAGAGAUUCAUCCAGAAGGUUGAAGGAGGAAACAUUUGAAGGAAAGUGCGAAGUUUGGCGUCAGACUGGAGCGCGGCGACGGCGGGACUGAGCGCUCAGACUCCCUUCAUCCCCGCCGCUUGAUCGCCCCGUGGACGCGCGGGGAGAGAGAGUGGGAGAGAAAGAGAGAAAGGGGAGCUGGAAACAAGGGGAGUAUCGCGAGGUUACGACUCAAGUCCCGCGGAGACACGCGCACACGCACGUUCAAAAACAGUUUAAGAGACAGGAUGGACUGUGCCGUUAUUAACACAUACACAUUCACUGUAAAGCUGUUGGUCUUUAGACCCAGCGCCAAACUUUUCAACACAGCAGAAGUUCGUUGUUGUCUCCUCAUGUGUUCACUGCGGUUCUGGUUCUGAUCAGACCUGAACCAGGUGAAUAUUCUGGUUCCUCCCACACAGACUAACACACUUCUCCUGCUCCAGCAGGUCCAGGUUUCCCGUGAGCCUGAACCGGAGUCUCCCCCUUGUGUUCGUCACCAGCUGUAAGAAGUUCGGCUCAACACAUCAACGGUCGCGUCCGAUCUCCACGUCGUAACCUUUAGUUUUCAUUGUAUUUAAGGAACCUAAGACACGUUAGAGCUCUGCAGCCGCUGCUCAGCUGUUUCUGAGGCCAGGGGUUAAAUCCGCCGGCAUGCGACACAUGAUCCUUAUCAGCCUGUGUGAAGCUGGACACCUGUCGGCGUGGGCUCCGUCCACGAAGCCAAACUGACACCAGCACCAGGCCCGCGGGGCACUGGAGGCUCCGGACCAGCAGACCGGGACCGAGAAACCAGAACGACCCGGAGACGGAACGAGGCGAAGAAAACGGCUCAUUUACUGGACAAAACGUCCCAGACUCAUAUGAAGGCGGUGUUUAAAAUGAAUGGAACAAAUCAGGAAGCUUUCAGGAGAGGAGUCAGUUUAUUACAGUCGGACUUUCAUUAGUUUCAUAAUAAACCAAAACACACAAACA
rnacentral:lncRNA from 1 species